rnacentral:rRNA from 1 species
ACUGCUCAGUAACACGUGGACAACCUGCCCUUAGGUUGGGUAUAAACCCGGGAAACUGGGUAUAAUACCCGAUAGGUCUCGAUUGCUGGAAUGCAUCGAGAUUUAAAGCUCCGGCGCCUAAGGAUGGGUCUGCGGCCUAUCAGGUAGUAGUGGGUGUAGCGUACCUACUAGCCUACGACGGGUACGGGUUGUGAGAGCAAGAGCCCGGAGAUGGAUUCUGAGACACGAAUCCAGGCCCUACGGGGUGCAGCAGGCGCAAAAACUUUACAAUGCUGGCAACAGCGAUAAGGGAACCUCGAGUGCCAGGUUACAAAUCUGGCUGUCGAGAUGCCUAAAAAGCAUUUCAUAGCAAGGGCCGGGCAAGACCGGUGCCAGCCGCCGCGGUAACACCGGCGGCUCGAGUGGUAACCGUUAUUAUUGGGUCUAAAGGGUCUGUAGCCGGCCGGAUAAGUCUCUUGAGAAAUCUGGCAGCUUAACUGUCAGGCUUUCAGGAGAUACUGUCUGGCUCGAGGCCGGGAGAGGUGAGAGGUACUUCAGGGGUAGGAGUGAAAUCCUGUAAUCCUUGGGGGACCACCUGUGGCGUAGGCGCCUCACCAGAACGGCUCCGACAGUGAGGGACGAAAGCUGGGGGAGCAAACCGGAUUAGAUACCCGGGUAGUCCCAGCCGUAAACGAUGCGCGUUAGGUGUAUCGAUGACCACGAGUCAUCGAGGUGCCGAAGGGAAACCGUGAAACGCGCCGCCUGGGAAGUACGGUCGCAAGGCUGAAACUUAAAGGAAUUGGCGGGGGAGCAC